rnacentral:tRNA from 1 species
GCCCUCGUAGUUUAACGGAGAAAACAAGGGCUUCCGGAGCCUUGGAUGGAAGUUCGAUUCUUCCCGAGGGCA